rnacentral:lncRNA from 1 species
GGCCCCUUGCGGGAUUGAACAUUUGGAUGUGUGCUACCCAUCUGACUGUAUGCACCUCGGUUGGCCUGCCUUGGUCACUCAUCUUUAUGCUGCCUUCGGCUUCCCUUUCCAUCGAUUCUGUUGUCCGGCACUUUGUUUAAAACAGCGUCAUCCCUGGCCACGCGCCGUGGAAUUGGAGAGCACACAGCUGGAGGCGGAGGAGGCUGACCCCUCCAGCGGUGGCCAGUUGUGCACAUCAGGACACCGGGUCGAAGCCCAGUCUUUGUAAGUGAUCACGGGCAUGUGGGUCUGCUCUGUUGCACAGCUGAUGACAGCGGGUCUGGGGAAUGGUAGGGGAUGGAACGUUUUCUUGGCUGUUGAAGACCAUGUGCCCAGAAGGCCUGUUUUCCCGACUCUGGCCCAGCCUGGCCCGCCAACAGCCCCUCCCCACCCCUGUGUUCAGGAGCCCCUGUCUCUGUUGG